rnacentral:rRNA from 1 species
AUGAGUUGCUUGAGUUGGAACUGUCGAGGGCUUGGGAACCCAUCGACAGUUCGAGAGCUUCGCUGUGUGGUGAAGCAGGAAGGGACCGCUCUCCUUUUUGUGAUGGAAACUAAAAUCUCAGCCAAAAGGAUGGAGAGCAUGAAGACUUUGUUUGGUUUUUCAGGAUGUUAUGCCGUGGACAGUACGGGCCUUAGUGGCGGUAUUGGUCUGUUCUGGACGGAUGUGGUGGAAGUGGAGCUGAAAAAUUAUAGUUCUUGCCACAUCGACGUUCUAGUGAGGAAGAAGACCCAAGGCUCAAAGGAGUGGAGGGUUACCGGUUUUUAUGGAGCCCCGAAAGUGGAAGACCGGCCACAUAGUUGGAGGUUCCUACGUACACUUCAUGCAAUCCAGCAUGAAGCGUGGUUGUGUGUUGGUGAUUUCAACGAGACACUUACUGCCUCCGAACACUUCUCGAGAGCGGCCCGACCUAAAUAUCAAAUGAGGGCGUUUAGAGAGGCAGUUGAUGAUUGCUCUUUUUAG